AGAUGUAAGGGCAGUGUGGCUUUGGCAUUUCACCCCAUUCCUCAUAAGGGUUAUCUGGCUGGCUAGGCAGAAAUCUCCUUCCUCACCAUUCCAUGUGCAUCCCUUCCUAAACUGAAUAUCCAGUUAGAGAGGACAACCUUCCCUGAUUAAGAAGGACCAUUCUUCAGCCAAGGACAUAUAAAGUAGCUGUGCUCCCCUGCUAGAACUGCCAAACGAGCUCCCUAUCCUCUUAAGGCUCUGCUCCUUGAGGCUGGCUCUGCUUAGACUCAGUUGCCAGCAGUCAACCCUUUACA
rnacentral:snRNA from 1 species